UACGGAGGGUGCAAGCAUUAAUCGGAUUUAUUGGGCGUAAAGGGCGCGUAGGCGGGAAAGUAAGUCAGACGUGAAAUCCCGGGGCUCAACCCCGGAACAGCAUUUGAAACUGCUUUUCUUGAGGGUAGAAGGAGAAAACGGAAUUCCACAUGUAGCGGUGAAAUGCGUAGAUAUGUGGAAGAACACCUGUGGCGAAGGCGGUUUUCUAUUUUAUACCUGACGCUAAAGCGCGAAAGCAAGGGGAUCAAACAGG
rnacentral:rRNA from 1 species